rnacentral:rRNA from 1 species
UACGUAGGGUGCAAGCGUUGUCCGGAAUUAUUGGGCGUAAAGAGCUUGUAGGCGGUUUGUCGCGUCCGCUGUGAAAUUUCGGGGCUCAACCCCGAACUUGCAGUGGGUACGGGCAGACUAGAGUGUGGUAGGGGAGACUGGAAUUCCUGGUGUAGCGGUGAAAUGCGCAGAUAUCAGGAGGAACACCGAUGGCGAAGGCAGCACUCUGGGACGUGACUGACGCUGAGGCGCGAAAGCGUGGGGAGCAAACAGG